CCUGCUAUAUCUGUCGUUGAUAGUCACGGAAAGGCAUCAGUUGCUUGCACUUAUAGUAAACUGGCUCUCAGGUCACAGAAAGUGGCUCAUUUCUUGCUCAACAAGUUAGGAGGUGGUAAACAAAUCCAACCUGGUGACAGAGUUGCUCUUGUGUUCAGAAAUGAUGAAGCUGCUACUUUUGCUAGUGCUUUCUGGGGUUGUCUGUAUGCUGCUAUCAUACCAGUUGCAAUUCAUCCUCCUUUAUCAAGAGAUG